CACGUAGGGGGCGAGCGUUGUCCGGAUUUAUUGGGCGUAAAGAGCUCGUAGGCGGUUUCGUAAGUCGGAUGUGAAAACUCCAGGCUCAACUUGGAGACGCCAUUCGAUACUGCGAUGACUUGAGUCCGGUAGGGGAGUGUGGAAUUCCUGGUGUAGCGGUGAAAUGCGUAGAUAUCGUAAGGAAGACCAGUGGCGAAGGCGGGUCUCUGGACAGUUCCUGACGCUGAGGCACGAAGGCCAGGGGAGCAAACGGG
rnacentral:rRNA from 1 species